rnacentral:rRNA from 1 species
AACGAACGCUGGCGGCAGGCCUAACACAUGCAAGUCGAGCGGAUCCUUCGGGAUUAGCGGCGGACGGGUGAGUAACGCGUGGGAAUAUGCCCUUCUCUACGGAAUAGCCUCGGGAAACUGGGAGUAAUACCGUAUACGCCCUACGGGGGAAAGAUUUAUCGGAGAAGGAUUAGCCCGCGUUGGAUUAGGUAGUUGGUGGGGUAAUGGCCUACCAAGCCUACGAUCCAUAGCUGGUUUGAGAGGAUGAUCAGCCACACUGGGACUGAGACACGGCCCAGACUCCUACGGGAGGCAGGAGUGGGGAAUCUGAGACAAGGGGGGAAACCCUGAUCGAGCCUGGCGGCGUGAGUGAUGAGGGCCUUAGGGUUGUAAAGCUCUUUCGGCUGGGAAGAUAAUGACGGUACCAGCAGAAGAGGCCCCGGCUAACUCCGUGCCAGCCGCCCCCGCGGUAA